GUAGUCCCUCUUCUAUCCAAGGUUUCACUUUCUGUGGUUUGUUACCCAUGGUCAACUGAGGUCUGAAAAUAGUCCUACAGUAACAGCCACAAGUGGUGCCCAAACAGAGACUUGAAUGAAGAAGGUCUACUGGAGCAGAGAAAGUGAAACUGAUCAGAUGAACCCCAGGACGAGUCAGCCAGCAGAGCAUAUAAAGUCAGCGCCCUGAGGAGUCUGUAAAAUCGGCUGGACCACCAACUGGCAAUUGAAAGCUGCACAGCCUGGAAUUGCCUUUAUUCAAUUAAUGCAAAAACAAAAACGGGGAGAUGUU